CGCUACACAGAAACUCACUAUGAACUAAUAACUACUAAAAUAAUUUUAGGCACAUAGCCUAUGAUUAGUAUGAGACAGACAACAAUCAGUUACACUCGACUCAUAACACAAAGUUCUUUAACCAUACGAUUAGGUUUACCGUCUGCCCACUGUCUUGCUACUGCUGGCUCCAUAUGCAUCAUAGCAUAGCAUAGCAUACCAAUAGCUAACAGUAGGUUAAACUUUGAAUUAUGCGUUACUUACGAGUCGGAGUGUGGAGGAGAAAGUGAUCCCUGAGACCCAGCUGAGGCAGUAGCCUACGCGCUAAGUUCAAAGCUGGAAAAUGCAGCUUUAUAGGCCAGCUCGAUCGGUGACACCGGACUCCCAACACGAGCCCGUCAGCACACACGGCUCCAAAGCGUUGCGAACACUCUUAAGUCCAACGGUACAGCGAUCCAGGGUUAUUCGGCGGGGACACUGAGGCUAGGGUAGCUUCCUAAAAAUCAAGGUGA